UACAGAGGCCUCAAGCGUUGUUCGGAUUCAUUGGGCGUAAAGGGUGCGUAGGCGGUCGGGUAAGUCGGAUGUGAAAUCCUGGGGCUCAACCUCAGAACUGCAUUCGAUACUGCCUGGCUGGAGGAUUGGAGAGGAGAGUGGAAUUCACGGUGUAGCAGUGAAAUGCGUAGAGAUCGUGAGGAAGACCAACGGCGAAGGCAGCUCUCUGGACAAUUCCUGACGCUGAGGCACGAAGGCCAGGGGAGCAAACGGG
rnacentral:rRNA from 1 species